AACGAACGCUGGCGGCAGGCCUAACACAUGCAAGUCGAGCGAGGACUUCGGGUCUAGCGGCGGACGGGUGAGUAACGCGUGGGAAUGUGCCCUUCUCUACGGAAUAGCUCUGGGAAACUGGGAGUAAUACCGUAUACGCCCUAUUGGGGAAAGAUUUAUCGGAGAAGGAUCAGCCCGCGUUGGAUUAGGUAGUUGGUGGGGUAAUGGCCUACCAAGCCGACGAUCCAUAGCUGGUUUGAGAGGAUGAUCAGCCACACUGGGACUGAGACACGGCCCAGACUCCUACGGGAGGCAGCAGUGGGGAAUCUUAGACAAUGGGGGCAACCCUGAUCUAGCCAUGCCGCGUGAGUGAUGAAGGCCUUAGGGUUGUAAAGCUCUUUCAGCUGGGAAGAUAAUGACGGUACCAGCAGAAGAAGCCCCGGCUAACUCCGUG
rnacentral:rRNA from 1 species